rnacentral:rRNA from 1 species
CGCUGGCGGCAGGCCUAACACAUGCAAGUCGAACGGUAACAGGAAACAGCUUGCUGUUUCGCUGACGAGUGGCGGACGGGUGAGUAAUGUCUGGGAAACUGCCUGAUGGAGGGGGAUAACUACUGGAAACGGUAGCUAAUACCGCAUAACGUCGCAAGACCAAAGAGGGGGACCUUAGGGCCUCUUGCCAUCGGAUGUGCCCAGAUGGGAUUAGCUAGUAGGUGGGGUAAAGGCUCACCUAGGCGACGAUCCCUAGCUGGUCUGAGAGGAUGACCAGCCACACUGGAACUGAGACACGGUCCAGACUCCUACGGGAGGCAGCAGUGGGGAAUAUUGCACAAUGGGCGCAAGCCUGAUGCAGCCAUGCCGCGUGUAUGAAGAAGGCCUUCGGGUUGUAAAGUACUUUCAGCGGGGAGGAAGGGAGUAAAGUUAAUACCUUUGCUCAUUGACGUUACCCGCAGAAGAAGCACCGGCUAACUCCGUGCCAGCAGCCGCGGUAAUACGGAGGGUGCAAGCGUUAAUCGGAAUUACUGGGCGUAAAGCGCACGCAGGCGGUUUGUUAAGUCAGAUGUGAAAUCCCCGGGCUCAACCUGGGAACUGCAUCUGAUACUGGCAAGCUUGAGUCUCGUAGAGGGGGGUAGAAUUCCAGGUGUAGCGGUGAAAUGCGUAGAGAUCUGGAGGAAUACCGGUGGCGAAGGCGGCCCCCCUGGACGAAGACUGACGCUCAGGUGCGAAAGCGUGGGGAGCAAACAGGAUUAGAUACCCUGGUAGUCCACGCCGUAAACGAUGUCGACUUGGAGGUUGUGCCCUUGAGGCGUGGCUUCCGGAGCUAACGCGUUAAGUCGACCGCCCGGGGAGUACGGCCGCAAGGUUAAAACUCAAAUGAAUUGACGGGGGCCCGCACAAGCGGUGGAGCAUGUGGUUUAAUUCGAUACAACGCGAAGAACCUUACCUGGUCUUGACAUCCACGGAAGUUUUCAGAGAUGAGAAUGUGCCUUCGGGAACCGUGAGACAGGUGCUGCAUGGCUGUCGUCAGCUCGUGUUGUGAAAUGUUGGGUUAAGUCCCGCAACGAGCGCAACCCUUAUCCUUUGUUGCCAGCGGUCCGGCCGGGAACUCAAAGGAGACUGCCAGUGAUAAACUGGAGGAAGGUGGGGAUGACGUCAAGUCAUCAUGGCCCUUACGACCAGGGCUACACACGUGCUACAAUGGCGCAUACAAAGAGAAGCGACCUCGCGAGAGCAAGCGGACCUCAUAAAGUGCGUCGUAGUCCGGAUUGGAGUCUGCAACUCGACUCCAUGAAGUCGGAAUCGCUAGUAAUCGUGGAUCAGAAUGCCACGGUGAAUACGUUCCCGGGCCUUGUACACACCGCCCGUCACACCAUGGGAGUGGGUUGCAAAAGAAGUAGGUAGCUUAACCUUCGGGAGGGCGCUUACCACUUUGUGAUUCAUGACUGGGG